UGCAGUCGAACGAUCUGCCCCGACAGAUACCUUCGGGUUGAAGACGGGAUCCAGAGAGUGGCGGACGGGUGAGUAACACGUGGAUAACCUGUCCUUAAGACUGGGAUAACCUGGCGAAAGUCGGGCUAAUCCCGGGUAAGCUGAGAGUGUGGCAUCACACAACCAGAAAAGGUGCUUAUGCAUCGUUUAAGGAGGGGUCCGCGGUAGAUUAGCUAGCUGGUGAGGUAAAAGCUCACCAGGGCGACAAUCUAUAGCUGGUCUGAGAGGACGAUCAGUCACACUGGAACUGAGACACGGUCCAGACUCCUACGGGAGGCAGCAGUGGGGAAUCUUCCACAAUGGGCGCAAGCCUGAUGGAGCAACGCCGCGUGAGUGAAGAAGGUCUUAGGAUUGUAAAGCUCUGUCCUUAGGGAAGAACCGUGGGUGUAGGUAAUGGCACCCAUCUGACGGUACCUUUGGAGGAAGCACUGGCUAACUACGUGCCAGCAGCCGCGGUAAUACGUAGAGUGCAAGCGUUGUCCGGAAUUAUUGGGCGUAAAGGGUACGCAGGCGGAUAAUCAAGUCAAGCGUGAAAGGUGUCGGCUUAACCGACAGACUGCGUUUGAAACUGAUUAUCUUGAGUGUAACAGAGGAGAGCGGAAUUCCUAGUGUAGUGGUGAAAUACGUAGAUAUUAGGAAGAACACCAGUGGCGAAGGCGGUUCUCUGGGUUAACACUGACGCUGAGGUACGAAAGCUGGGGGAGCGAACGGGAUUAGAUACCCCGGUAGUCCCAGCCGUAA
rnacentral:rRNA from 1 species